AUAAUCUAAAGGGCGUGGACUGUUCAUUCGCGCUGCACUAUUCAUUCGCGUCGCACUGUUCAUUCGAGCCCGAAGUAAAUGACGCUUUUGCCCUUAAUUUUUUCUUAAAUUACAUCCCUGCCAUUCAGUCUGUUAUAAGCACCCGCCGACAGUAGAAUGCUAGAACUCCAGAAGGUUCAGGUUUUUUCGCUCUCUCGCUUCUCCUUAUCAACUUGACAGUGGUCCAGAUAAUAGCAACUGGAGGGUUUGAUUAGAUACGCGGCAAAUCUACCCUAAUCCCUCAGACCCAAGUCAAAAUCCACAUAAAAACCCAAAAAUCACUACCAAAAAAGAGUAACAGAGCAAGAGAGUUGUGAGCAACAAGAACAGUGUUGACGCCAUAGCUUCCAAAACAGAGCCGACCCAGAAGCUGGUCUUCUCAGACGAGUACAAAGCCACCAUCUUUGCUGCAGAACCAAGCUCAGAAGCACAGCCAACAAUGCAAAAAUCUCAGAGGUUAUAGAUGGUGCGAUCUGGAUUUGAUAAUCUGUGUUUCUUUCUUUUGGUAUUGUAUCCAGUAGUCUGCGUGUUGAGUAAUUGGGAGCAUCGCAAAAGCUUGUGUUUUGCGUUUUGAUUGGAUCCAGUUUGUGAUGAGACGAUUGGGUUUAGAACAAGUAGAACAGUCUUUGCAAAAUCUCAGACACUGCAACAGAAAAGAGAAGAAGGCAAAUUAGUUUGAUCUGCAAUUUCACAAGACUU